CCUUAAUAGCGGCUGCACCAUUAGGAUGUCCUGAUCCAACAUCGAGGUCGUAAACCCCCUCGUCGAUAGGGACUCUGGGAUAGGAUUGCGCUGUUAUCCCUAGGGUAACUCUGUCCGUUGAUCGGCGUUCGCCGGAUCAUUUUUGGUCAGAAAUUCUGGUGCUUAGAGUUGUGGCUCUUGGUUGUGGGGGCAGUGCCCCCAGUCCACAUGGGGGCUUUGUUUUCCCCCGCGGUCGCCCCAACCAAAGACAUAGGGGCUAGGGGUCACUGUGUUUUUACUUGUUAAUUCAGGGUUACUUGACGUGAUCUGCCUGGUGUCUAAAGCUCCAUAGGGUCUUCUCGUCUUAUGUAUUUAUGUCCGCUUCUGCACGGG
rnacentral:rRNA from 1 species